UACGUAGGGGCCUAGCGUUGUCCGGAAUUAUUGGGCGUAAAGAGCUUGUAGGCGGUUUGUCGCGUCUGCUGUGAAAAUCCGGGGCUCAACCCCGGACUUGCAGUGGGUACGGGCAGACUAGAGUGUGGUAGGGGAGACUGGAAUUCCUGGUGUAGCGGUGGAAUGCGCAGAUAUCAGGAGGAACACCGAUGGCGAAGGCAGGUCUCUGGGCCACUACUGACGCUGAGAAGCGAAAGCAUGGGGAGCGAACAGG
rnacentral:rRNA from 1 species